rnacentral:rRNA from 1 species
CAGUAGCCGGUCUGAGAGGAUGAACGGCCACAUUGGGACUGAGACACGGCCCAGACUCCUACGGGAGGUGCAGUGGGGAAUCUUCCGCAAUGGACGAAAGUCUGACGGAGCAACGCCGCGUGAGUGAUGACGGCCUUCGGGUUGUAAAGCUCUGUUAAUCGGGACGAAAGGCCUUCUUGCGAAUAGUGAGAAGGAUUGACGGUACCGGAAUAGAAAGCCACGGCUAACUACGUGCCAGCAGCCGCGGUAAUACGUAGGUGGCAAGCGUUGUCCGGAAUUAUUGGGCGUAAAGCGCGCGCAGGCGGAUAGGUCUGUCUGUCUUAAAAGUUCGGGGCUUAACCCCGAGAUGGGAUGGAAACUGCCAAUCUAGAGUAUCGGAGAGGAAAGUGGAAUUCCUAGUGUAGCGGUGAAAUGCGUAGAUAUUACGAAUGAACACCAGUGGCGAAGGCGACUUUCUGGACGAUAACUGACGCUGAGGCGCGAAAGCCAUGGAGCGAACGGGAUUAGAUACCCCGGUAGUCCUGGUCGUAAACGAUGGGUACUAGGUGUAGGAGGUAUCGACCCCUUCUGUGCCGGAGUUAACGCAAUAAGUACCCCCGCCUGGGGAGUACGACCGCAAUGUUGAAACUCAUAAGGAAAUUGACGGAGGACCCGUACCAC